UAAGCAUAUAAUUAAGCGGAGGAAAAGAAACUAACUAGGAUUCCCUCAGUAAGGGCGACUGAAGCGGGAAUAGCUCGAACCGAAGAAUUGUGGUGUGUUUACGUUAUUUGCUCGGCCAAAGUCCCUUGGAACAGGGCAGCGUAGAGGGUGAGACUCCCGUUUGGCUGUGCUUUUGAGUUUACAUAAUGGAGUCGAGUUGUUUGGGAUUGCAGCUCAAAGUGGGUGGUAAAUUCCAUCGAAAGCUAAAUAUUGGUGGGAGACCGAUAGCGUACAAGUACCGUGAGGGAAAGAUGCAAAGAACUUUGAAAAGAGAGUUAAAGAGUACCUGAAAUUGCUGAAAUGGAAGCGAAGGAAACCAGUGUCGUGCUUGUCAUAUUUCUGCCGUCGCUUGCGAUGGUAGCGCUGUGGCUGCACUGGUCAGGGUUGGUUGUGAACGGUAGAACUUCUACUGGUUGCGACUGAGUUCUGUCGAAAUGGUUUUCUUUACCCCGUCUUGAAACACGGACCAAGGAGUCUAACAUAUGUGCGAGUACAGGGGUGUCAAACCCCCGUGCGUAAUGAAAGUGACAGUGGUUGUAUUUUUUCCCAAUCCGCCGGCCUCAAUCCUUCGGGAGAACGGUCUGAGUGUGAGCAUACAUGUUGGGACCCGAAAGAUGGUGAACUAUGCCUGAAUAGGGUAAAGCCAGGGGAAACUCUGGUGGAGGCUCGUAGCGAUUCUGACGUC
rnacentral:rRNA from 1 species